AACUGGGGUUGCAUGCUUCGAAGCAGCCAGAUGCUCUUUGCACAGGCAUUGCUAUUCCAAAGGCUGGGAAGGUCUUGGAGGAAAAAGGAAUCUGAGCCGCCUGAAGAGGAAUACUUAGGGAUAUUAGAACUUUUUGGUGAUUCUGAGGCUUCAGCAUUCUCGAUUCACAAUCUUAUACUAGCUGGAGAAUCUUAUGGCCUGGCUGCUGGGUCAUGGGUAG